AGUCGAACGGCAGCGGGUCAGUAGCAAUACUGAUGCCGGCGAGUGGCGGACGGGUGAGGAAUACAUCGGAAUCUACCUUGUCGUGGGGGAUAACGUAGGGAAACUUACGCUAAUACCGCAUACGAACUAUGGUUGAAAGCGGCGGACCGCAAGGCGUCGCGCGAUUGGAUGAGCCGAUGUCCGAUUAGCUAGUUGGCGGGGUAAAGGCCCACCAAGGCGACGAUCGGUAGCUGGUCUGAGAGGAUGAUCAGCCACACUGGAACUGAGACACGGUCCAGACUCCUACGGGAGGCAGCAGUGGGGAAUAUUGGACAAUGGGCGCAAGCCUGAUCCAGCCAUGCCGCGUGUGUGAAGAAGGCCUUCGGGUUGUAAAGCACUUUUGUUGGGGAAGGAAAGCCGCUGGUUAAUACCUGGUGGUCAUGACGGUACCCAAAGAAUAAGCACCGGCUAACUUCGUGCCAGCAGCCGCGGUAAUACGAAGGGUGCAAGCGUUACUCGGAAUUACUGGGCGUAAAGCGUGCGUAGGUGGUGAGUUAAGUCUGUCGUGAAAGCCCCGGGCUCAACCUGGGAAUGGCGAUGGAUACUGGCUCGCUAGAGUGCGGUAGAGGAGAGUGGAAUUCCCGGUGUAGCAGUGAAAUGCGUAGAGAUCGGGAGGAACAUCAGUUGCGAAGGCGGCUCUCUGG
rnacentral:rRNA from 1 species